UGGUUGAACCGGGCUCAGCUAAAGCAUUCAUUUGCUAUUCAAUUUCAUGGCACCCCUUGCCUGUGCCUCGAGCCUGUCCAAUAAAUGUCAGAUCUAUUACUCGUUUAUUUUGAAAUCCAAUCUCGAGUGCCACCGACCGAUAUAAAAGCGACGCGCUGCCUGUCUCUAGGCAAAUUCAUUAGAAAUCGGGGGCAAAGAAAUGCUUGAUUGCAGUUCAGUAAAUGAAUACCCGGAGCAUAUUUGCCCACACUCCGGACGCCUGCUCCGAUAGAACAAAGUAAAAGUUUCACAUUCAUUUGACAAGGCGCAAAUGUCAAAUUAUAUUACGUUAAUUUAGAUUCUUUUAAAUGUCGCUUCAUUUUUUUUCUCUCUGUUUUAUUCUUCUACCAUUUUUAUACGCUAAGCUGUCAACACUUUUGCUGGCGGCGCAAAUUCGAAAAUGGUUAAAUGGAAAUUAUUAGAAUAUUAAAAUUCUUGACAAAAAUAUGAAAAUUGACUAAAUGAAAAUUUUCAACUUGGGAAUGGCUUAUUUCUACAGUAAAUAUCGGCGCGUCUAUUUGAAGCAUAAGAAGGAUAAAUUCUUAAAGGAAAAGUCGACUAUUUAUGGCUUUGCUAUCGCUUUUCUAUCUUUCCAAAAAUAUGAAAAUUAGUUUAAGGACAAUAUGAAGCAAAGGAAUGGUAAAUUCUUAAAUUUCAAUAGAAAACUCAUGAAAAAGGCUUUGCUUAGCCUUUACCCAUGUAAGCUCACGUUUUCGUAUGUCUAAAACUGAACUCGAAGUCGAUUGGCUCGUCAAAUAACCUUCGAGUUGUUGUUGUUGUAGUUGCUGCCGUUGGCUGGCUAAUUUUCGCUAAUGCAAAGAAGAGGAAGCUGCCGAAGCGCCAAAAAAAAAAAAACUAAUAAAAUUUACGUUUAUCCCUGGCAAAGGCACUCGAAAAUGUGCGCCUAAUGCGCCGGGAUGAUGAUGCCAGCCGAGCUGAGGACGACCUUAAUACAGACGGCAGACAGACAUGCCACCCCCUGGGGGCUAAGUGCCAUCGAAUUUCAAUUCAAUUUACAGCCGACUCGUGUCGAGGGUGCAAAAAA